CAUUGAGUAUGGCUAGUUCCCCCUUCAUCCAGGGGAUGAUCAGCCCACCUAACUGUCCCAACUUCAAAUCUGUUAGACAUCACUAUAGGAGAUAAGGGAGGGAAAUUAGUGAUGUUAAAGAAUGGGGAGUCUUUUAUAGCAACCUGCUUCUGCUUGUUCCCAACUUCAGCUGAAGCUAGAGUACUUGUCUCCUUUGGUAACU
rnacentral:lncRNA from 1 species